rnacentral:lncRNA from 10 species
AGGCUGGUGGAGAUGACAUGGAGCAGAGCUGUUGCCCCCACUCUGCUGGCCAAAGCCAUCCUAGAUCAGCUGAACCUCAGUCAACUGCCAGGCCUAUGAGGGAGCCAAUCAAGACCAGAACUGUCCAGCUAAGGCCAGUCUAAAGCCAACUCAGACUUAAACAGGGUCUCGCCAUGUUGCCCAGGCUGGUCUCAAACUCCUGGACUCAAGCAAUCCUCCCACCUCAGCCUCCCAAAGUGCUGGGAUUACAGGCAUGAGUCACCACAGCCAGCCCAGUACCUGCUUUUAAGGAGCUCAUACCGACCAGAGUUCAAGC